ACCCUAUGCACUAUUGAAGGUGAGCUGAAACUGAAGCGUGGUCACACAGCCAGCUGGUCCACAAAGUGACCUGGCAUGCAGGAUCUUCUGUCCUGCCCAUCUGUGGGCCCUCGGGGGCUGCGCUCUGCUCCUCUGACAUGGCUGUGCUGUGCUUGUCCUUGCAGCUGCAGAUUUCUUCAGCUGUGGUCAGCUUGGAGAGGUAUGCAAAGGCAUGGUCAAGGACACUGUCUGAAGAUCCCAGCUAUGCCUGCUGCCUCCUUUUCCUGCAGCCUUUGUCUCAGAACACAAUGUCCUUAUUAGUCUGCAGGAGGGUAUGUUGUCUUCUUGUUCUUACAUAAGUCGCAUUCCUCCUCCUGUCAAAGAACGUAAUUGCACUCAUGUCCAAAGCACUUGGACAUAUCAGGCGCAAUUCAUGCCUGUUGUCUGUCCACUUUUAUCGGGGAAGUCAGAGAAAGGAUAAGCUCUGAAAUCGGGGUGAAACCUCUGCCUUCUGUCACGUUCCUCAAGCAUGAACGUUAUUGUGGCAUUUAAAGAACAAUAACUUGCUGACAUAGUUCCUAGUAAUACCAGGGCAUAUUUUAUUAAUGCAUUCACACAGCAUGUUGGCCAGCUCUGUUUAACAGCUGCCAAGGGUUACACUGGUAAAUGCCAAAGAAGGCCUCAUUUGUCUGCCUGCCUGCGUACAGAUGCUGGACCUGGAUUACCCUCCAGCACAAGGUCUCACAAAAUCUCUCCUAGUUGCUUAAUUCCUGCAGGCCACCCUUUGUACCAGGCCUUCUUCACACAACCUGUUGUGCUUUCCCAGUGAGAGCAAUGCUGCCUUUGAAAGAGAAUCAUGCAUGAAUUGGCACAGGAGCGGCAGUAAAUGUGCACCGGUGCUUGUUACACAGAAGAAAUGAGAGCACAAGGGUUGGAAGAGCCAUAGGGAGGAUAAUUUGGGCUUGUUUCUGAUUUCCAUUUGCUGCAGGGUACACUGAGCCUGAUGUCUGUGUACAGAAUGAGAUCAUGUGAGUCUGUAGGCCUCAGCCAGGCCCAGGUGCCUGCAGGCCUUCCCUUUGAGGCCCACAGUGCUUGCUGUGGGUGUCAUCUCCCCCAGGUGUCCUGACUCAGCCCUCAGGGGCACGGGAUCACUGCAGCAGAAGCCCCGAGCACCGUGGAAGCUGUCCAUGAGCCCCAGGCCUUAUUCCAUCAGGGAGUGAGGAACAGGAGCAGUGUGGGAGGACAGCAGGACCCACACACUGCUUCCUUCUUGUCUUCCUGCCAAGGCGAGGGGUCUCCUGAGAACCCCCAGUCCCAGGGCUGCCAUCAGGCACAAACAAAUGAGUCGACUGGACUUCCAGUGACUCAGCUAUCCAACUUGUUAUACUAGUGCUAACACUUUGUGCUACCAUCAGAAGAUUUCAAAGUGCUUUUUAAGCAGUUUUCCUUAUCAAGGUUCCUCUGAGAGAUGGCAAUUGUGCAACUGAUGUUUCAUGGUCAUUAUUAUCUGCUGUUUUUCAAACUUUCUGUUGUUCUUUCCUGCCAAAUCCAUGGAGCUUUGAGAUCCUCUCAGCUGCUCCCUUCCCCGGGCCACAGUCCACGAUCAUUUCCAGUUUGGAAAAAAGCAUGCUUUUUCUGAUGGAGAACGGCAUAUUUUACAGAGUGGCUUCCUUUAAGAGAGGAAAUAGGGAAAGGUUUAGUGCCUCCAGAGCAUGUCUGUCAAAGAAGUCUGAGAGCUGUGAUAAAGAGGAUCUGGUAGGUCAGGAUGCCAACAUCUUAGCUGGCCUUCAGUCAAGUCUUGGAAGCAAACAAGAUUGUAAUUACCUGCAAGAUGCCUGAAUUAGCACAAUAGAAACUUGGCAGUAACAGCUGCAUUUUUGAAAAUGGGAUUUAAAAAAUAAAUAAAUGUAAAACAGAGAAAUAAUACAAUUUGCGCAAUGGAUUCUCUGUUGUGUUUUGAAUAGUGCAUACAUACAGUAGUUUAAAUAAACAAUACAGUCCAUGAUUUAAUUUUUUUUUAAUGCUAUCCAAUGACUAAUUUUUGGUGUCUCUUAAAUUCACUUGAAUGUAGUCCUAAGUCAGUUGUUGAAGUUGCCAAAAGCUGUAGCU